rnacentral:misc_RNA from 1 species
UACGAAGGGGGCUAGCGUUGUUCGGAUUUACUGGGCGUAAAGCGCACGUAGGCGGGUCGUUAAGUCGAGGGUGAAAUCCUGGAGCUCAACUCCAGAACUGCCUUCGAUACUGGCGACCUUGAGUCCGGAAGAGGUGAGUGGAACUCCUAGUGUAGAGGUGGAAUUCGUAGAUAUUAGGAAGAACACCAGUGGCGAAGGCGGCUCACUGGUCCGGUACUGACGCUGAGGUGCGAAAGCGUGGGGAGCAAACAGG